UGAUUAGUGGCGAACGGGUGAGUAAUACGUGAGCAAUGUGCCCUUGACUCUGGGAUAAGCGCUGGAAACGGCGUCUAAUACCGGAUACGACGAUCGGAGGCAUCUCCUGGUCGUGGAAAGAAUUUCGGUCAAGGAUCAGCUCACGGCCUAUCAGUUAGUUGGUGAGGUAAUGGCUCACCAAGACGACGACGGGUAGCCGGCCUGAGAGGGUGACCGGCCACACUGGGACUGAGACACGGCCCAGACUCCUACGGGAGGCAGCAGUGGGGAAUAUUGCACAAUGGGCGCAAGCCUGAUGCAGCAACGCCGCGUGAGGGACGAAGGCCUUCGGGUUGUAAACCUCUUUUACCAGGGAAGAAGCCGAAAGUGACGGUACCUGCAGAAAAAGCACCGGCUAACUACGUGCCAGCAGCCGCGGUAAUACGUAGGGUGCAAGCGUUGUCCGGAAUUAUUGGGCGUUAAGAGCUCGUAGGCGGUUUGUCACGUCUGCUGUGAAAACCCGAGGCUCAACCUCCGGCUUGCCCUGGGAACGGCCAAACUACAGUGCCGCAAGGGGAGAUUGNAAUUCCUG
rnacentral:rRNA from 1 species